GAUGAACGCUGGCGGCGUGCCUAAUACAUGCAAGUAGAACGCUGAAGGAGGAGCUUGCUCUUCUGGAUGAGUUGCGAACGGGUGAGUAACGCGUAGGUAACCCGCCUGGUAGCGGGGGAUAACUAUUGGAAACGAUAGCUAAUACCGCAUGACAACAGUUAUUGCAUGAUAACUGUUUAAAAGGGGCAACUGCUCCACUACCAGAUGGACCUGCGUUGUAUUAGCUAGUUGGUGAGGUAACGGCUCACCAAGGCGACGAUACAUAGCCGACCUGAGAGGGUGAUCGGCCACACUGGGACUGAGACACGGCCCAGACUCCUACGGGAGGCAGCAGUAGGGAAUCUUCGGCAAUGGACGGAAGUCUGACCGAGCAACGCCGCGUGAGUGAAGAAGGGUUUCGGAUCGUAAAGCUCUGUUGUAAGAGAAGAACGAGUGUGAGAGUGGAAAGUUCACACUGUGACGGUAUCUUACCAGAAAGGGACGGCUAACUACGUG
rnacentral:rRNA from 1 species